rnacentral:rRNA from 1 species
UACGUAGGGUGCGAGCGUUAAUCGGAAUUACUGGGCGUAAAGCGUGCGCAGGCGGUUUUGUAAGCCAGAUGUGAAAUCCCCGGGCUUAACCUGGGAAUGGCAUUUGGGACUGCAAGGCUCGAGUGCGGCAGAGGAGACUGGAAUUCCUGGUGUAGCAGUGAAAUGCGUAGAUAUCAGGAGGAACACCGAUGGCGAAGGCAGGUCUCUGGGCUGACACUGACGCUCAUGCACGAAGCGUGGGGAGCAAACAAGGAU